CCUACGGGAGGCAGCAGUGAGGAAUAUUGGUCAAUGGGAGAGAUCCUGAACCAGCCAAGCCGCGUGAGGGAAGACGGCCCUAUGGGUUGUAAACCUCUUUUGUCGGAGAACAAAACCCGGGACGUGUCCCGGACUGCGUGUAUCCGAAGAAAAAGCAUCGGCUAACUCCGUGCCAGCAGCCGCGGUAAUACGGAGGAUCCGAGCGUUAUCCGGAUUCAUUGGGUUUAAAGGGUGCGUAGGUUGUUUUAUAAGUUAGCGGUGAAAUACCGAUGCUCAACAUCGGGGCUGCCGCUAAUACUGUAGGACUAGAGAUCGGAUGCAGCAGGCGGAAUGUGUAGUGUAGCGGUGAAAUGCAUAGAUAUUACACAGAACACCGAUUGCGAAGGCAGCUUGCUAGGCCGGAUCUGACACUGAUGCACGAAAGCGUGGGGAUCGAACAGGAUUAGAUACCCUUGUAGUC
rnacentral:rRNA from 1 species